UACAGGAUAGUUAACGGUCAACAAUGAACAUGAUGACAAUAACAAUGAGGGGAUUUGUGGUCUGCACCCUGACGCCAUUUGUUGUGCUCCAUCUGGAAAAAGGGAAGUUACGAGUUACCUUGACAUUCCACAGCUUUCUUACAUGCAUGAGUAAAGAAAUUAAUCAAUGAAGUACUUUUGAGAAUGUGACUUAAGAGGAGCAUUGGGAAACAUGCCCUAAAAGCUUAUAUAACACCUGUAAGUAUCCGGGAUGGCCAUUGACUAUACAUCUGAAAGGUCUUUAGUUUGAAAUUGAAGGAUUCUAGAGUUUCUCCACCAAUGGUACCAUCUGGAGCAAAUUAAAGGUGAUGUAACCACAGUAUCACACAAAUAUAAAAACAUCACCGUAAUUAUUUUUAAGAAGUAUCUUGUUAAACAGGCAAGGUUUCUGA